rnacentral:rRNA from 1 species
UACGGAGGGGGCUAGCGUUGUUCGGAAUUACUGGGCGUAAAGCGCGCGUAGGCGGACCUGCAAGUCGGGGGUGAAAGCCCGAGGCUCAACCUGGAAAUGGCAUUGGAUACUAUUUAGCUUGAGGAGUGGAGGGGGGACUGGAAUUCUCGGUGUAGCAGUGAAAUGCGCAGAUAUCAGGAGGAACACCGAUGGCGAAGGCAGGUCUCUGGGCUGUAACUGACGCUGAGGAGCGAAAGCAUGGGGAGCGAACAGG